GCUGAGUCUUUGUUACUGCUGUGAUGAUUAUGAGCGUAGUAAUUAUUUGUCGCUAUGGCACAAUGAGAGACAUUUCGUUAACGAUUAACGAAAAGGAGGAUGGUACGUGAGUUUUUGAAAUUUUCAACUAUUGCGCAAUUCUCGUAAGAGCAAUUAAACGAAUAACGUAACUUGACCAGUGCAAAAUACUCCACGCAUAGUCAAGAUGUACCAGUCGUGUGUCAUUGCGUGUUUUCUGUAUCAUGUGUUUUGGGUGAGAACCAAUGAUAACGCGGUUUGCUUAAUCAGCGUACAUUAGAGAAUCGUGUGACAGCCUUCGUAAGUGACGUAAUCGAAACAUUAGCAUGUACACUAAUAAGUGAUGCCACCAUAAAAAGACGAGAAUAAAUGUAAAAAUAGAAAAUAAAGCCUGACUGCGUACGGAAGGUAGGCUUAAAUUCUUACACCAGUAUCAGGCGAUGUUUACGCGAAUGAAGUGUAGAAAAAUAUAAAAAUUCUUUUGAAUUUAUAUAUUAUAAAAUAAUUGUCUUGCCACUUCCGGAUUGAGGUACUAAUAAGUGACGCCACCAUAGAAAGACGAGAAUAAAUGUAAAAAUAGAAAAUAAAGUCUGACUGCGUACGGAAGGUAGGCUUAAAUUCGUACACCAGUAUCAGGCGAUGUUUACGCGAAUGAAGUGUAGAAAAAUAUAAAAAUUCUUUUAAAUUUAUAUAUUAUAAAAUAAUUGUCUUGCCACUUCCGGAUUGAGGUGAUAUCCCCAAAAACUUACGAAGCCGUAAAAAGUACGAGGAACGCAGAACAGAACAGUUGAGAAUACAUAGUAAUUUUCAAGCCAGAAGUAGCAGCAAAGCACAGAAAUUUGUGUCAACUAGUAAAAGAAAGACAGGGUGCACGUGCGUUAUAAUUAAGCCCUAGUAGUCAGCUUGACGAAGAUUAAUUUUUAAAUUACGAUUUCGAGAUUUCGUGUAACGUAACUAGCUUUUUCGAAAUACAGACAAAAGCUGAUAUUUUCAGUCUCCCGUAGUUAGCGCACUCUGCUGUUUUGCUGCAAGGAAAUAAUAAUAUAGCGAGCGACCUCAAUUUUACUAGCGCGAUGAAUGCUUCACUGAUGUGCAGGCUCCACCAGUGUCGACGAACAAAUCGAAAGGCUCGAUCUAUCAGUGACAAGUACAACGAGAGUCAAAAACAUUAUUGGCAGAUAUUAAAAAUGUUAAUAAGUGUCUGGAUACUAUAAAGAGAAUCUUACGAAUGAUGAGAAGUAAAUUGCAUAUAACCUUUGACAAUGGGAUAUGAGAAAGGCGAAGAUUCGUUCAACUCGAUUUUUCAUCGUCACGCGGAGCUACGUGUUCAACACUAUUUUUAACAGUUUGGGAAUCAGAGCGGCCAGCUAACACUGGCCCAGAUAGAAAAAGGCCACAAAUUGGCCAGCAACCGUAAGUAAGUUUAUCGGGGAAAUGUUUACAAGUUGCGUCCGCGUUUGCAUAUCGAUGCACCACGUAACCACAAUAAUGAAGCGAUAAACAGAAAAAUUGUUUGCCGACUGGUGAUGCCGUAAACGUUUGAUAAAACAGUUGUUGCUUUCAAUCUUCUUCAGUAACGUAUCAGAAACGUGUUCUCUACUACUGUAAGUUGUAGACGAAUAUACGGCAAUUUGCCGAAAUUUUAGCAGUUUCCGUUUUUCUUUGAUCACAUUUUGCUAUUUGAGGUUUUCAAUUUACUGCAGAGAUCGCCACAACGAUGAAAAUACGUGUAGAGUACUCCCAAAAUAAAUGGAUUUGACACGUCGUCAACUGUCAUAAAGGAAUCUUUCCGCGUAUAACGUGUGCUAUACGUUUAACCAUUAACGGUUACGUGGUCUUUCACUGACUCCAACGUAACGUGUGAUCCUUAUGAAAAUUUUACUGAAAUAUGACCGUUAAGGAUUGUCACAGGAAAUUUUUAACCUUUACGCUGGAAAUACGCAUUUCGUGAUAAUCUACUCCAUGUCAAUCAUGGAAUUCGUCUCACAGCCGACGAAACGAAAAGGUUUUUCAGACAAUAUCCUACAGUUUGAAAUCAGAAAUCAACGAAUUCUUACGAGACCAAUGCGAAGCCGGCUAGCUGAUAAAAAAGAGUCGACCUUGAUACAAUUAAAUGUCCAAAGAAUGGUCUUCGAGUCUUUCUAAACCAGACAAAGAAAAUAUGUUUCUCAAGUGUCUCUACCUGACAAAAAGAUUUCUAGCCUAGUGAGUUUGUAAUAUUAACCCUGCGGGCAGGAAUCAGCUCGGGGAAAAGCGCGGCAAUUUCACACGAGUGUCGGCAUUUGGUAUCACUAGCAUCAUUUGUUAUCAAAAACUGUGAAACAAACGUAAAAAAAUAAACAAAACUUUUGAGACAGAUAACUCUGGUAGAAAUAUAAAUAGGACAGAAAGCAGGGCCCGAUAAAAUUUUCUUAGUGCCCUAUAGAGACCACCGAUGGGAAAGCAGACUAGCGCCUCAUCUGGUUUGUAACAUUUUUAUUUUCCACGUAGCUUUCAGAAUUUGCACUGCUACUAAUUUAUCUGGUUAAAUGUUCACUGGCACAUGAAAACUUAUAUUCACUCUCAAUUGAUACUUGUUAGGCAUGAAAUGAUUGAAGAAAUUGGUCAUUGCACAAAUCACCGAACAUGCAGGGACCUUCGGCCUGUCAAACAUGAAUU